rnacentral:rRNA from 1 species
GGUUAAGCGACUAAGCGUACACGGUGGAUGCCCUGGCAGUCAGAGGCGAUGAAGGACGUGCUAAUCUGCGAUAAGCGUCGGUAAGGUGAUAUGAACCGUUAUAACCGGCGAUUUCCGAAUGGGGAAACCCAGUGUGAUUCGUCACACUAUCAUUAACUGAAUCCAUAGGUUAAUGAGGCGAACCGGGGGAACUGAAACAUCUAAGUACCCCGAGGAAAAGAAAUCAACCGAGAUUCCCCCAGUAGCGGCGAGCGAACGGGGAGCAGCCCAGAGCCUGAAUCAGUGUGUGUGUUAGUGGAAGCGUCUGGAAAGGCGUGCGAUACAGGGUGACAGCCCCGUACACAAAAAUGCACAUACUGUGAGCUCGAUGAGUAGGGCGGGACACGUGGUAUCCUGUCUGAAUAUGGGGGGACCAUCCUCCAAGGCUAAAUACUCCUGACUGACCGAUAGUGAACCAGUACCGUGAGGGAAAGGCGAAAAGAACCCCGGCGAGGGGAGUGAAAAAGAACCUGAAACCGUGUACGUACAAGCAGUGGGAGCACGCUUAGGCGUGUGACUGCGUACCUUUUGUAUAAUGGGUCAGCGACUUAUAUUCUGUAGCAAGGUUAACCGAAUAGGGGAGCCGAAGGGAAACCGAGUCUUAACUGGGCGUUAAGUUGCAGGGUAUAGACCCGAAACCCGGUGAUCUAGCCAUGGGCAGGUUGAAGGUUGGGUAACACUAACUGGAGGACCGAACCGACUAAUGUUGAAAAAUUAGCGGAUGACUUGUGGCUGGGGGUGAAAGGCCAAUCAAACCGGGAGAUAGCUGGUUCUCCCCGAAAGCUAUUUAGGUAGCGCCUCGUGAAUUCAUCUCCGGGGGUAGAGCACUGUUUCGGCAAGGGGGUCAUCCCGACUUACCAACCCGAUGCAAACUGCGAAUACCGGAGAAUGUUAUCACGGGAGACACACGGCGGGUGCUAACGUCCGUUGUGAAGAGGGAAACAACCCAGACCGCCAGCUAAGGUCCCAAAGUCAUGGUUAAGUGGGAAACGAUGUGGGAAGGCCCAGACAGCCAGGAUGUUGGCUUAGAAGCAGCCAUCAUUUAAAGAAAGCGUAAUAGCUCACUGGUCGAGUCGGCCUGCGCGGAAGAUGUAACGGGGCUAAACCAUGCACCGAAGCUGCGGCAGCGACGCUUAUGCGUUGUUGGGUAGGGGAGCGUUCUGUAAGCCUGCGAAGGUGUGCUGUGAGGCAUGCUGGAGGUAUCAGAAGUGCGAAUGCUGACAUAAGUAACGAUAAAGCGGGUGAAAAGCCCGCUCGCCGGAAGACCAAGGGUUCCUGUCCAACGUUAAUCGGGGCAGGGUGAGUCGACCCCUAAGGCGAGGCCGAAAGGCGUAGUCGAUGGGAAACAGGUUAAUAUUCCUGUACUUGGUGUUACUGCGAAGGGGGGACGGAGAAGGCUAUGUUGGCCGGGCGACGGUUGUCCCGGUUUAAGCGUGUAGGCUGGUUUUCCAGGCAAAUCCGGAAAAUCAAGGCUGAGGCGUGAUGACGAGGCACUACGGUGCUGAAGCAACAAAUGCCCUGCUUCCAGGAAAAGCCUCUAAGCAUCAGGUAACAUCAAAUCGUACCCCAAACCGACACAGGUGGUCAGGUAGAGAAUACCAAGGCGCUUGAGAGAACUCGGGUGAAGGAACUAGGCAAAAUGGUGCCGUAACUUCGGGAGAAGGCACGCUGAUAUGUAGGUGAAGUCCCUCGCGGAUGGAGCUGAAAUCAGUCGAAGAUACCAGCUGGCUGCAACUGUUUAUUAAAAACACAGCACUGUGCAAACACGAAAGUGGACGUAUACGGUGUGACGCCUGCCCGGUGCCGGAAGGUUAAUUGAUGGGGUCAGCGCAAGCGAAGCUCUUGAUCGAAGCCCCGGUAAACGGCGGCCGUAACUAUAACGGUCCUAAGGUAGCGAAAUUCCUUGUCGGGUAAGUUCCGACCUGCACGAAUGGCGUAAUGAUGGCCAGGCUGUCUCCACCCGAGACUCAGUGAAAUUGAACUCGCUGUGAAGAUGCAGUGUACCCGCGGCAAGACGGAAAGACCCCGUGAACCUUUACUAUAGCUUGACACUGAACAUUGAGCCUUGAUGUGUAGGAUAGGUGGGAGGCUUUGAAGUGUGGACGCCAGUCUGCAUGGAGCCGACCUUGAAAUACCACCCUUUAAUGUUUGAUGUUCUAACGUUGACCCGUAAUCCGGGUUGCGGACAGUGUCUGGUGGGUAGUUUGACUGGGGCGGUCUCCUCCUAAAGAGUAACGGAGGAGCACGAAGGUUGGCUAAUCCUGGUCGGACAUCAGGAGGUUAGUGCAAUGGCAUAAGCCAGCUUGACUGCGAGCGUGACGGUGCGAGCAGGUGCGAAAGCAGGUCAUAGUGAUCCGGUGGUUCUGAAUGGAAGGGCCAUCGCUCAACGGAUAAAAGGUACUCCGGGGAUAACAGGCUGAUACCGCCCAAGAGUUCAUAUCGACGGCGGUGUUUGGCACCUCGAUGUCGGCUCAUCACAUCCUGGGGCUGAAGUAGGUCCCAAGGGUAUGGCUGUUCGCCAUUUAAAGUGGUACGCGAGCUGGGUUUAGAACGUCGUGAGACAGUUCGGUCCCUAUCUGCCGUGGGCGCUGGAGAACUGAGGGGGGCUGCUCCUAGUACGAGAGGACCGGAGUGGACGCAUCACUGGUGUUCGGGUUGUCAUGCCAAUGGCACUGCCCGGUAGCUAAAUGCGGAAGAGAUAAGUGCUGAAAGCAUCUAAGCACGAAACUUGCCCCGAGAUGAGUUCUCCCUGACUCCUUGAGAGUCCUGAAGGAACGUUGAAGACGACGACGUUGAUAGGCCGGGUGUGUAAGCGCAGCGAUGCGUUGAGCUAACCGGUACUAAUGAACCGUGAGGCUUAACCUU